rnacentral:rRNA from 1 species
CUUUGUGCAUCACCGCGCGGGGUCUCUUCCUCUUGGCUUGCUUCGAGAGGGGGAGGCUCGCGUUUUUCAUACAAACACCCUUCUAGUUUAGAAUGUCAUUCAUUUGCGAUCAUACGCAAUCAAUACAACUUUCAACAACGGAUCUCUUGGCUCUCGCAUCGAUGAAGAACGCAGCGAAAUGCGAUACGUAAUGUGAAUUGCAGAAUUCAGUGAAUCAUCGAAUCUUUGAACGCACCUUGCGCCCCUUGGUAUUCCGAGGGGCACACCCGUUUGAGUGUCGUGAAAUUCUCAAACCUUCUUGGUUUCUUGAUCAAGAUGGCUUUGGACUUUGGAGGCAUUUGCUGGCUUUGCGAAAAGCCAGCUCCUCUUGAAUGCAUUAGUGGGGUCCCCUUUGCCGAUCCCCAGGCGUGAUAAGAUGUUUCUACGUCUUGGGAUUUGCUCUGUUCCUUGGGAACCCGCUUCUAACCGUCUCAUGGAAGACAUCGUUCGAGCUUGCUCGACCCACGAACCUUGACCUCAAAUCGGGUGAG